CAACCUAGAGGGUGGAGGACGGCUUCUGGCCCGCCGCUGGGAAAUGUGCCUCCAGGUUCUCCACCUUUGCUAAUCACUGGCUGGUGCUGUCAAAAGCAAACCUCCUUCUUUUUUACGUGAAGAUGUGUGCGGCAAACCACAGAUGGUAUGAGCAGGAAGAAAUGGGGCCGUUUCUAAAGAAAUUAGAGUCCCUCUGAGACAAACCACGUUGCAAAGACUCUGACACCAGACCAGCUUCUGGAAGAGAUUUACAUGAACUGAGUCACUUGGAAGGGACACUCCAACUGGUUGAGCCACCUGCAGGCUCCAGGUUCCCAGCUUUUAUGAGCUGUCACCUGUGCUGGGAUGGGCUUCCGUGGUGUGGCUGUCACUGAGUCAUUUCUGCUCCUGUAAGUAUCCCCAAUAAAACUCAUUGGUUCACCAAGUCAGACUUUGGUGGUAUCCGUACUUUGGCCUCUUCUGGGCUCCCUCACUAGGGUGUGUUACAUCUCUCCAAGAAAAGUUUCGUCAUAGUACAAAGUUCAAGGCUAGCUUGGCCUAAAACCUGUUUCUCAAAAACUGAACCAAAACAAACAAAACAAGAAGGGAAAAAAAAAUGACCAGAAAAUCCAGUGGUUUAUUUUCCUACCCUGAUUUUCAGAAUAGUAAAAACCCAAAUAUAAAGAAAUUUGUGUGUGUGUGUGUAUGUGUGUGUGUGUGUGUGUGUGUGUGUGUGUGUGAUUUGCCAGUGUCUCCUCUUUAUCUUCUCUAACCUCUUUUUUUUUUAAAUAUUUAUUUAUUUAUUUUAUGUGUAAGUACACUAUAACUGUCUUCAGACACACCAGAAGAGGGCAUCAGAUCUCAUUACAGAUGGUUGUGAGCCACCAUGUGGUUGCUGGGAUUUGAACUCAGGACCUUUAGGAAGAGCAGUCAGUGCUCUCAACCGCUGAGCCAUCUCUCCAGCCCCUAUCUUCUCUAACCUCUUGAGCAGAACUUGGACUAACGCUUUCUUCAGAUGAUGACCCACAAAGUGCGUUUUGGGGAGAAUAGGGACCUGUAGACACAGUGGGAUGUCAAUUAGUCAACACCAGCCACAGGUCAAAUACGAUCUUGAGAAAUACUGAGUUGCAAAACCAAAGUCUAUGAAAUAAGUUUAGCAAUAACAAAAACAAAAGUGCCACAUUGUCUUUCCUCUUCUUUCUUCCCAAUCUGACUUUGGACUCCCUGGUUAACAAAGGGUAAGGAGAUAAUAGACCACAGUUUCAGCUCUGGCAAUAGUUUUCCUUUCCUUUCCUUUCCUUUUUCCUUUCCUUUCCUUUCCUUUCCUUCCCUUCCCUUCCCUUUCCUUUCCUUUCCUUUCCUGUCCUUUCCAUUUCUUUCCUUUCCUUCCCUUCCCUUCCCUUCCCUUCCCUUCCCUUCCCUUCCCUUCUCUCCUCCUCCUCCUUCUCCUCCUCCUCCUCCUCUUCUUCCUCCUCCUCCUUCUCCUCCUCCUUCUCCUCCUCCUUUUCUCUUGCUGUUGCUGUUGCUGUUUUGUGUGUUUUUCAAGGUAAGAGCUUACUUACUGCAGCCUAGACUGGCCUCAGCCUCCCUCUGUCUCAGCCUCCUGAAUGCUAGAGUUAGAAUGCUAGUGAAGUUGCUGGCCACCAUUUUUUCCCCUUGGUAGAAGUGGGUGGGAUCCUAAGAGUAAGUCCAGGGCUUGGCGUCUUAGUUUGGAAGCCACAGGUGUGGAAGCACAGCAUGCAGGAGGAUCCCAGCGAGAUCCCAGCCUGUGCCCUCGAAGGAUCUUUUACACGAGGGGCACAGAGAGGGACUUGGUGACAGCAGUAGGUUCAGAUACAUUAAUCCUGCAGAUGGGUAUCCACUCUCUAACCCAAGGGCUUUUAAAUUAAAGAGUGCACUUUGCCUUCCACUUGGGAAUUCUCUGGCCAAGCAGGAUGACAUUUUAUACAUAAAUUAGCUACCCUAGGUCAUUCUCAAAUUCUUGCUCCCUGUUCCACACACGAAGUUGCUGCUACCACAACAAGAGAAAAAGUGUGGAGGUGCAGUAUAAAGCCAGACUUAAAGCUUAAAGCACAAUGCAUGCCUGUUUGAGAAUUGUGUAUGUGUGUGAGGUGUGUGUGUGGGGUGUGUGUGUGUGUGUGUGUGUGUGUGUGUGUGUGUGUAAUAUAUCCGUGUAUGUUCCUAUGGACGCUUACCCAGUGCUUGCCAGAGAGAUAAACAUUAUGUCUUCUUCUCAUGAAGAGAGACAGUCUGUCACUGAGCCUGGGAUUUGCUGAUUAGGACUGGCGGGCCAGCAGUAAGCUCCCAGGAUCCUCCUGUUCCCACCUCCCCAGUGCUGAGAACGAGUGCCACCACGUAGGGUUCUCUAUGUGGGUGUCGGAGACGAACUCAGGUCUGCUCUCUUGCUUAUGGAACCAUUGUCCCCAGUUUGCUGUUUGGAUAUUAUUUUAUUUUAUUUUUUUUAAAUCUUUUUCUUUUUUUUAAUAUUUUAUUUAUUUAUUAUAUAUGAGUACACUGUAGCUGUCUUCAGACACACCAGAAGAAGGCAUCAGAUCCCAUUACAGAUGGUUGUGAGCCACCAUGUGGUUGCUGGGAUUUGAACUCAGGACCUCAGGAAGAGCAGUCGGUGCUCUUAACCGCUGAGCCAUCUCUCCAGCCCCCUGGAUAUUAUUUUAAAUUAAAUUAAAAGAAAUUAGACAUACAAGAGCCUAGGGACGUGGAGGGGGAACAUUUCACUUACUAGCUGUGUAGUUUUGGGAAAGUGUUUGUUUUUCUUUCUUUUUUUUUUUUUAAAGAUUUAUUAAUUUAUUUUAUGUGUAUGAGUACACUGUAGCUAUCUUCAGACACACCAGAAGAGGGCAUCAGAUCCUAUUACAGAUGGUUGUGAGCCACCAUAUGGUUGCUGGGAUUUGAACUCAGGACCUCUGGGAGAGCACUCAGUGCUCUUAACCGCUGAGCCAUCUCUCCAGCCCCGUGUUUGUUUUUCUUAAAUCUUAGUUUUCUCAUCUGCAAACCAGAGUCAUAGAGUUCCUAUUGAUCAUAUAAUCAGAGACAGAUUGUAUCUGGAGAGUAAGCUUAUAGUGAGCUUGCUGCUUGCUUGCUUGCUUGCUUGAUUGAUUGAUUGAUUGAUUGACUGAUUGCUUCCCCCUUCCUUCCUUCCUUUCUUCCAUGGUUUAGACAGGACUUUGUGCUUCUUACCUCCCUCUUCCCUCUGUCCUUCCCUCUCUCCCUUCCCCCUCCCUUUCUCCCUCCUCUCUCCCUCCUUCCUUUCUUUCCUCCUCCCUCUCCCCCCUCUCCCAACCUUCCCUCCCUCCCUCUUUCCCCCCUCUUUCCCUCCCUCCAUCCUCCCUCCCUCCCUCCUUCCCUCUCUCUUUUUCCUUUCUUGUGAAUGAAUGCAUGUGUAUCAUGAUGAGCCUCUUGAGGUCAGAGAAUACUUUCUAGAAUCUGAUCUCUCCAUCUGCCAUAUAGGUUCCAGGGACAGAACUCAAUUUCUCAGGCUUGGCAGCCAGUGCUUUUACCAGUAGAGUCAUCUCCUGACCUUUCUGUCUUUCUUUUCACUCCUGUUAUGAGAGAAGGCCUCACAGAGCCCAGCAUGCAUUCCUGCUCAGAGUGGCUUUGAGCUCUUGAGCCUCUGCUUCUGUUUCCCAAGUGCCAAGUUUACGGAUGUGCCGUCACCACUCCUGGCUUUGUGUUUCUUUUACGGAUUCAAAAUGGGCUUAGUUUGUAAAAUUCUAAAGCAGAUCCAGUAAGACAGCAAUGGAUGUAAAGGUUUUGCAGCCAGCCAUGAGCACUAUGUCUGCUGUUAACAAUCCAUUGUGAGAUGCAGCAGGAGUGCUGAAGAGGCCUGGGAAAGAGGUGCCUUCCUGCCUUCUACCGGCAGCAUCUGGUCCAGAGCGGUUCUGUGAAAUCUUGGCCUUGAGGAAAAGCAUAGCAUUCCUGAUCCUGAGAUCUGGGAUUAUAGGUGUGCACACACACAUCCAGCCCAAUCAGUCUUUAUGGUCAUAUCAUCCAAGAUUGGCAGCUUCCAGCCUGCUGGAGAACCUAGUUUAAAAAAUACUGUUUCCCAGAGGAACCAAGGGACUGCCGUGCUCCAGCUAAACCGUAGCCCACUGCCUGGAAUUGGUAAGACUUUUGAUACUUUCUGCUGGAACUCUGUCUAUAUUGCUACUCCUGAACUAUAACACCCAAGGUGACAACUUGUCAAGAGUUGUCCCCUCACGUCCACAUGCAUUUUAUAGGAUAUGCUCUGAAUUCCCACACAUCCCUCACACAUGUCAUAUACACAAACACGCCUAGUGAAACAUAAACAAAAUUUAAAAUGACCUAGUGUUGACAAGUGUGGACAAACUGACCACUAAAUUUAAGUUACUAGUAUUCGAAGGCAGGUCCUUUGGGAAAUAAUAAGGAUUAGAUGAGCUUGUAGGUGGAGCCUCCGUGAUGGCUUUUGUGGCUUUGUAAGUAGAGGAAGACUUGAGCUGGCUUGCUUGCCAUCCUGCUGCCAUACGAUGGCCUUCUUGCACAAGACAGACGUCACCAAGCAGAUGCUGGUUCCUUGUUCCUAGACUUCCCUGUCUCCAAAACCACAAGGCAAAGACUCGUAGGUUAUUUAAGUCACCUCCUCUCAGGUGCUCUAUUGGAACAAGAGGAAGUGGACUAAAGCCAACACUUCAGUGCAUCUGUCAAAGACAUUUCCUGGGGGCUGGAGAGAUGGCUCAGCGGUUAAGAGCACUGACUGCUCUUCCUGAGGUCCUGAGUUCAAAUCCCAGCAACCACAUGGUGGCUCACAACCAUCUGUAAUGAGAUCUGAUGCCCUCUUCUAGUGUGUCUGAAGGCAGCUACAGUGUACUCAUAUACAAUAAAAUAAAAUCUUAAAAAAAAUUAAAAUAAAUAAAUAAAUUUAAAAAAAAAGACAUUUCCUUAGGAAUCAAUCGUGGGAGGUCAUAGUUGUGAAGAUGUGAGAUGGCUGAGAGGGGAGAAAGGUAAUGAGACACAGAAUAUUAGGGCUGGAGGAUGGCUCGGUGGUUCAAAGCGCUGGCUGCUCUUCCAGAGGACCUGGGUUCAGCCUCAGGCAGGCUCAUGGCAACUCAGCUAUAACUACAGUGCCACAGGAUCCUCCACCAUCUUCUGCCCUCUGUGGGCAAUCCACGCGUGUAUGUGGCACACAUACAUGCAUUCAGGCAAAGCACCCGUAUUCAUAGAAUAAAAAAUAAGGGGUUGGGGAUUUAGCUCAGCGGUAGAGCGCUUGCCUAGGGAGUGCAAGGCCCUGGGUUCAGUCCCCAGCUCCGAAAAAAAGAAAAAAAAAAAAGCAAAAAUUUAAAAAACGAACAUAGACUUUCUCUUUUUCCUAAAUUACUCUAUUUAUCGUUAACAUGGGUUUGAGGUGCGCUCCCAUCAUGCCACCGCAUACCUGUGACAGUCAGAGGUCCUUUCUCUCCUUCCAUCUUUAAGUGGGUUCCAAGAAUCACACUCCGGACCUCCGGCUUGUGUGGCAAGCGCCUUUAUCUGCUGAUCGGUCCCACAGGCCUUGGUUUGGAUUGAGCCAGCUUGGUGAGCAAUGCUCACUGGCCUCCAACUAGCUACACAGUCAAUGAUGACUUUGAACUUCUCAUCUGACCUCCAUCUCCUAAACACUGGGAUUAUAGGUGUGUGCCACCUCACCUGGUUUAGGUGGUUCUGGGGAUUCAAUCCAGGGUUUCAUGUGCAGUAGGCAAGUACUCUAAAACCAAGCAUUCACAUUGCUGUCCUGUCCUGUCCUGUCCAUUUGUCUGUCUGUCUGUCCAUCUGUCUCGUGACCAGAGUGCUUCUGGAGCAAACACUUCUGGGAGCACAAAAAGUAGGAGGCAAGGCCAAGAGAACGAGAAAACAAGAGCUCUAAGGUACCCAGGAGAAAUUUAACCUUGUAAUUUUGCCUGACUCCAGUUCCAUAAAUGGAAGCUUUCUCUCCAAGCCCUCUGGGGAAAAGCAGAGAUCAAAAUCAUGGAAAGUUCAAGAUUUGUUAGACGCUAAGGAAAGAGCUGUUACAGGAAGUAGGGUUUCUCUGUGUAGAGCCACCCUGAAGUAGCCAAACUGGCACCCAAGCCUGCUUGGCCUGACGGCUUCUCUCCGAGUUCUGCUGAGACUCAUAAUCAGAGGAAGGAAGUGCCCAAGAGAUCUGAGGCCUUCAUUGUUGUUGAACACAGAUGGUUUGGGUUACCACACAGCCCUCAUAGCUCAAGGCCAGAAUCUGCUGUGAGCUACCUGGACAUAGGGUUUUAGUUGGUGACACUAUUUCUGGAAAUGAACUAAGUGGUUACAUUUAAGCCACAUGAGUGCCUGGAACGCCAGCUGGUGAACAUUAAACUAUGAAUCGAUAGGAAAUUGAUAGCCCAGAAAAACCCACCAUAUGUGCCAUGUAAAAUAAGGUUUUGCCAGCCGGUAUUAAAAAGAAACAGGAAGUGGACAGGCUUGGGGACAGAAAGUCAAGGGACUUUACUGCCAGGAUCCAGGAUCUGGUGGAUUUGCUAGAGAGCAGGGUAGGUAAGAGGCCGUCCUGGGGUUGGGGAUUUAGCUCAGUGGUAGAGCGCUUGCCUAGGAAGCGCAAGGCCCUGGGUUCGGUCCCCAGCUCCGGAAAAAAAAAGAACCAAAAAAAAAAAAAAAAAAAAAAAAAGAGGCCGUCCUGUGGGUCUGGUGGCCAUCAAAAGUCACAAUGACAAUGCCCUGGUGUUCUGUGAAGUACAGAUCCGAUUCUGCCUGACAGGGAACACUUGAGCAAACAAUGUGUCAAGAGAGAAAGUUCUUUUAAUUCCAGAAAGAGCCCGAACAAAGUGGCUGUAUUAGCUGUGCCAGAGAGUGGACCGGGCAUCCCUCCUUGGGAACAAAGGCUCAGUAUUUUAAGGCAGUGAGUAUAACAGCUUCCUUGGGUUCCCCCUGUCACCUGCGGUGGAAGCAGGUGGGGGCUGGGUGAGGGUAUCUCUCCAGAGUGAACACCAGCUUCUUCUGUAAGGAUUGCUCAAGGGCUUCCACAGGAAGGGUGAAGUUCGGUGGAGUUCAGUCUCCAGAAUCAAACCAACUCAAACCACACACCCCUACACCCCCAUCCCCCCGCCCCGCCCCCAUCCUCCACCCCCAUCCCUCCACACCUCAGAUCUCUCUGCACACUUGCAGUCUUCCCAUAUGAAGAGCAAGAGAAUAAGUACCCCUGCGAACUGACCAGAGUCAUAGGGAGAAGACUACAGAGCUGAGUCAGAUCGGUGACUUACAAAGACUAAGUCUUUUAUUCCCUGAAGCCCUCAGGAGCCAGGGGCCAGUUCCACUGUGUGCCUGGGUGCUAGAGAAGUACGAAGUUGGCAGACUCCUCAGACGGCUUGGAGGUGGGUGUCCCAGGUGGGGAUUAAUUCCAGAUGUUUUGUUUUGAAACAAGGACUUAAUUUGUAGCCCAGGCUGGCCUCUUUAAUUCUGUUUAGUGUGUGUGUGUGUGUGUGUGUGUGUGUGUGUGUGUGUGUGUGUGUGUGUGUUGAUUGUCAGGGCACCCUCUCUGGAUUCAAUUCUCUUCAUAUACCUCAGUUUUGAAGCAGCUCCCCUCCCCCUCCCCCUCCCCUCCCCCUCCCCCUCCCAGCUCUCUCACUCUAGCUGCACUUUGUACUUCAGGAGAGCUGGCCUGCCAGGUUCACUGUGAUUUCCCUGUCGCUGACUGCCAUCUGGUCAUAGGCGUUCAGAGAUGACAGAUGUGUGCUCCCACGUCUGGCUUUUAACAUGGGCUCUGGGGAUCAAGCUCAAGUUGUCAGUCCACACUGUCACUGGCCCUGACUUCCAUCUUAAAACCUUUGUGUCUCUGCCUCCCCAGCUCUGGGAGCACAGGUGAGAGCCACCGCACUAUGCCUCUGUGUGAGCACGGAGGAGCCAAGCUCACCUCACCAGUCUUGCCCUCUGCAGGCCUGCAUCCUGCUGGGCAUUCAGACGUGACAGUGCUAAGAGACAGCCAGGAGGGCAGUUGCUCCGGACAGCACAGAUGAGCCAAGCCUGAAGGGCAUGAGCUCCAACACCAGCUUGUCCUUAGUGCAGGAAGUGGAAGCCUGGAAUCCCUGACCUAGUAGCCCUCAGCAGGGAGCUCUUCUCCACAAACCUUCAUCAGAGUCAAGCGAGCAACUGAUGCUUCAUUUCUGGGAGAAAACUCUGUUUUCUCAACUGAGAAAGAGAAAAAAAGGCCACCUCUUAUAUUGGUUUAUCAUCAGUAGAGAGAGCACACAACAAUUUUAGAAAUAAUUUUGAGAAAAGAAAAACAGACAAACCCAAAAACCAGCCACUGCUUUAAGGAAACUGUUUUUAGUUUUUUUGCAAAAUCCCUUUGAGUACUUCAUCAGAUCUGGGCAUGUUUUCCAGGUCACCAUUGUUACACGUCUGUCUCUGUCACCCUGUCCUUUACUCUCCAGAGUGUCCCUACACAUUACUGCCGACACAGGUCAUCUGCAUUGUCUUCAUAUUUUCUUUAUUUGUGUGUGUGUGUGUGUGUGUGUGUGUGUGUGUGUGUGUGGUGUGUGUAUGUAUAUACAUAUAUGUGUAUAUAAAUAUAAUUUAUAUGUGUAUGCAUAUAUAUGUGUGUAUACAUGUGUGUAUAUAUACAUAUGUGUGUAUGUAUGUAUGUCUAUGAUGUGAGUGUGUAAUGUGUGCUUGCAUGUGUGUAGGGGCAUAUGCACAUUGUGUACACGCAUAUGGAGGCCUGAGGUUGACACCGAGUGUCUUCCACACAGCUCUUAUAUAUUGAUGCAAGGUUUCUUGUUGAGUUUCUUGAAUGGAGUCACCAUUCCCACUUGGCAGCUUGCUCCAUGGACCCCCUGCCUUUGCCUCCAGCCGCGCUGCCACCUCUGCCAGCUGUUUCAUAGGUUUAGGGGCUCUGAACUUUAAUCCUCAUGCUUAUGUGGCGAGCAUUGUACCCGCUGAGCAUCUCUCUGCCUGCACUCCUUGCUUUUUGAAAGAGGUUCUCCUGCAGCCCAGCCUGGCUGGUCUGGAAUCUACUAUGCAGCUAAGGAUGACUGUAAAUGUCUGAGUGCUGGCAUUACAGGUGUGCACGGCCACACCACUUUACGGUCCUGAGGAUCAAACUCAGGGCUCCCUGAAUGGAGGCAAGUAGCUUACCCACUGAGCGAUAGCCCCAAUCCGUUUCUUUCCUUGUCUUUCUCUUUUCCCCUCUGCUGUUGGGAACUGAACCUCAGCCUCGGGAAUUUGGGGUCAUUUCCAGUAGCUAUCAUUUGUACUACCAUGCGGGUCUGCUGCUCCCGGUGCCAGUCGUUUGCCUCAGGCAUCAGGAGUUCUGUGCUCUCACAAAAGCAAAUGUCAAGUCACCCUUAUGAGAAGAAGCAGUUUUAUCGACACACACCAUGACUCAGCCAGCAAGAUGGCUCCAUGGAUAAAAGUUAAGCCUGAGAUAAAUUUGCAGAGCACACAUGUGUCACAGGAUAUCUGGACCUGCUUCUAGUUGUGAUGUGACUCAGCCCUUAGUAAACAGCUUUAAGCCCAAACAAAGAAGGUAAAGUUAGGGGGCUGGGGAUUUAGCUCAGUGGUAGAGCGCUUGCCUAGGAAGUGUAAGGUCCUGGGUUCGGUCCCCAGCUCCGAAAAAAAGAACCAAAAAAAAAAAAAAGAA